AGGGAGGAGGACGACGGAGAGGAAGGUGGAGGAGACGCGAAGCCAGGAACGAAUGGAGGCGCGUGGAGUUGGACCCCUCCUGUGGGACGAGCGAGGAGACGGGACGUGAAGAGCUACGCCGAUCGCCUCGCCUCUCCUGGGUCCAGAUGUUUACCUCCACCGAGCCGCUUUGACUCGUCUUAGCCGCUUAAUUGGCAGCACACCUUUAACGAACAACUUCCAAUUAGGACUCAAACAAAGUAACGUUCACCACCAGGAGAGGAAGGUUCUGCCUCUGUCAUUCGGGGAAGUGUCAUUCCUGCCGUAUGUUAAUGAUGCCAAGGCUUCUCAGUAUGAAAAGCAAACGUGUAUUCAACAUAUUACAAUACAGUGUUGUAUUAGCGAUAGCACGAUAAUGGAUUCUUUUUUAUUUAUCGUAAUAUUUCUACAGGUCAAACUAGAAACUCUCACAGACAAACACGAGGUCUCGUGUGGUACAAAAUGAUCAUUUCCCAUCAAAUCAUUGUGAGUGUUGUUAAACAGUGACUCCAGCUUUUGCCAGAAUAAGAGCUACUGUAAAUUAGCAUGAAGUGAACGUCGGUUCAUUCCUCUCUCAGCCAUUAUGGCUGUUUAAUAUCCUUUAGCAGCUGGUCGCCGGGCCCUCUGUGGACGGGCAGACGCUCCAUCUCUGGGUUUUUACGGCACCAGCUGCCUGAGACCAAGCGAGGAGAAUGGCUCAGAAAGCCGACAGUGAACUGGAAAACAGUUCAGCUGUUCACAACUUCAGCACAGACUCUGACCUGGUGAAAGGAGUCAGAACCGAGAGCGAGACACGUGGAGAAUGGAUGAGAACGGCGACGGGAUAAAAAAGCAGACGGCGACGUCGGAUUUGGGGAGGAAGAGGAGGAGAGGGAGCGACGGACGGACUGAAGCGAGAGGAUGAAGAGCGACAGUGAGAAGCGGGGAUAAAGAGGAACAUGGAAUAAAAGAAAGGCAGGAGACGGCAGAGAGCAGUGAGGGGUGACAGACGGGAGGCAUGAAGGAGUUUUAUUGACAGGUGGAGCGAGGACUGGGGAUUUGCACAGGGGCUAAUGAAGAAGAGCUGCAGAGGCGGCGGACGAGGGCCACGAGGAAGCUGCAGGCUGCGGCUGGGACACGUGGGCGUAAACACGCGGAUGACGCAGGUGAGCCCCACCGGUAAAGGACUGAGGCGGAAUCACAUCUGAAACCCACCGUAUCAUAGAUUACCGGGGAUUAGCAGCAGGUAAUCGGCGAUCUGGGAUGGAUUAUAUUGUGACCUGCCCGGCGGCAGCGAGGACGCGCGAGCGGCAGCGAGGACGCGCGAGCGGCAGCUCUGCCUCUGCGUUACAGGCUGCGUAAACGCAGAGCUCUGCGUUUAAACCCGCCCGUCGCGCGCAAUUAGUUCUCAACACAUUACGUCGCGUUAAAUAAUGGACACUUCAUUACGAAUGGAUGGAAGGCAAGUCCUCCAGAAGCCUUCGGUGGAAGAACGUUACGCAACCGACCGCGCAACGAGCAGAACUGAAGCAAACGGGAAGUUUAAAAGCAGAAAAACACAAACAGUGGAGGCUCAGAUUGUUUUACAGGAAGUUUAUGUUCAGCGAUAUACUUUAUAUUAAUUAUGGAACAUUUUACAUCUGGAUGAUUGUACAUUAUUCCCUUGUUAUCUCACUACAUCAUAUAUAUCAUACAUCGCAUGCUGUCUUUGCUGUGUCUGUGCACAAACGCUGCAUUUAAGUCAUGUCACCGGCCCCAAAGUCAAAGACGUCUCAUUACAGGCUGAAACUGGAGACAGUGGAUGAAAAACGAGAGCGGGGGGAGGAGGGGGGUGUAGACGGCGGGACCGCCCCAGGCCUCGGGCCGAGCCGCGGGUCACGUCACACCAAAUGUCUGCGAGUGGAGUCCAGCAGCGGUUCCGCUCCCACUCGGGGCAGCGGCGGCGCGGCUGCGUUUGUGUCACAGUGGCGUUGGGCUCGUGCGCGCGCGUGACCAACACGCCGGAAAUAACGGAGGUUAAAGGUCGUGGGUGACCCAAUUGCUAAUGACGUUAGCAUGCUAGCUACCGUCCCCGAGCGCGCGCCGGCUGACGAUGUCAUUUAAACCUAAGGAGGCGUUUUAUAGAUCGCCGUAUAACGUUACCUUAUGAGAUAUAUUGUCAUUUCCUCUGGGCCUUCCUGUAAAGUGCACAUGCUAAUCAUUUAGUUAAUGCCGGGUGAUAAAAUACUGUUAAAGCACGCAGAAAGUGAAGCCGCUUUCUAAUAGUUCUGAUUUAGCAUCGGGGCCGCUGUCGUUAGCUAGUAGCUCGCGCAUCCACAGCUCUGCUUUGGCUCCAAGCGGCUCCAGAGGAAACACCGGCUCCUCCGCUGCUCCACAACAGAAGGGAUGAAAGAAAAAAAGGUGAAAAUGGGUGAUUCACCCUCCAAACAGGAGCGGACACGGGCCGAGUGCGCGAGCUGUAAUGAACAGAACGCGGACUCACGCUUGAGGAAUAAAACCACUGGAGAGCAGAAGAUGAAUUCAUAAUUCUGAUGAACCGAAGACACGUAAGCAGGCUUUGCUGGCUUCAGGGUGCUCAUGUUGGACUCCCCUGUUGGAGAACAACCCAUGAUGAUGGAUGGAUGGAUGAGCGUUAAUGAACAUUAAACCACAUACCAACAUUUCCGCAAGAAGAAUUUGUAAUAGGUACGUAUUACAUCAUUACAAACUGUUAAAGCAGCCAAGAUCUCCCUCUGCCCCAUUCGAUAAAAGGCUCAAGUACAAAAGGAAAGUCAGUAAAGCUUUGUUGCAUGUGUAAGUACAUGGACAGGGCUCAUCAGCAGAGCGAAGCGGAAAAGGACCCGAAAAAAAAAAUCAACUCAUGAAUUCACUCUCUCCACCUCGUUCAUCGUCACCUGCAGCACUUGUCAGUAGUAAAAGAAUUCACAUACAACGAACUGCGUAAUAUUCACAAACUACAUAUACAUAGAGUUGUCGUCAUUUUACCCCAAAAAAGAAACACAGCUGAGAAAGAACCAUGAAAUAAAUAGUCUAACAGGAUGUUGGGAGACACAUUUUUAACUCAAAGUACCAUUGUUCGCUGUAGUUUGUGCAUCAGUUUAAAAUUAAUUAUUUAAAUCAGUUUAAAGCUUUUCAAUUUAAAGGGCUCUCUCAUAAUAAAAUGAUUCAUUCCUAUAACUAGUUUAGUUACAUUCUCUUUGCUUUGUUGACAGGACCUCAAACGGUUCUGGCCAGCGAGGUCUUUUUCUGGGUCAUAACACGAUUUCACACCGCGCUGUCCGACGCUAAACCCAGAAUAAUUAAGUAAAUGGAGCAAAUCUGUAAAGUCUAAGUCGCAGGGGAGAGGCGUCCUCACACGCAUGAGUUUCUACACUGAAAUUUUCUAGCUUUAAGUCAUAAUCCACACACUCUCUCCUACAGUGGCGUUUGCUACUGCGGCGCUAUGUGACGUCCACCAAAGUGGCAAACAGACACACACACACUGAACAGACUCUUUCCAUUUAGCAGGAAGUAUUAGUGUCCUCAGAAGCAGAUGUCUCUGCAAGAGAUUAACUUCUGGCCACACGCACACAGACACACACACGCACACACAAAUACCCUGUGGAGUUAUUUUAAGUUAGUUUCAUUACUGAAGUUCAUCCCUGAUGUCUGAGCCUUUCUAUGUUUGUGUGAAUACACUUUAGUUGUACGAAGGAUGGUUUUAAGAAUUUGAAUUGGGUCUAGGUUGGAGUUGGGAUUAGGCAUUUAGGUGCAUCGGCUAAAGUUACUGUAAGAAAAUAUGAAAUGCAUUAUGUUAAUGAGUAGCAAGUGAGUGUGUGUGUGACUUCUUUGCUGAGACAGGACAGGAUGAUUAUGUUUUGUUUUCAGACUCUGGGUUUCUGAGAAAAUGUUACUUUGUUACAUCACUUAAAUCUUCCCUCUUUUACUACAAAAGACACACACACACACACACACACACACACACACACACACACACACUAUCCAGAUGGACGUCUGCUCACUGACCGUCAUGCAGCCUUGGCUGGAUUUCGAUUGAAGCUUUAGGGCCGGAGAGAUUAUCCCGACCAGUGAUGCUGCAAACCCUGGCAGGACAGGUGUGUGUGUGUGUGCGUUGGUGGUGAAGUAUAAUAGGAUAACCAGGCUGGAUGGAGGAGCAGCCAGCUCAAACACAAAUGCGCGUGUUGCAGCGCCCCCUGCUGGACAAUUACUGCGAUUACGGCUAAAAAUAAGGACUUGGACCUGGUCUUUUAAAACGGGGGCUAAUUCCACUCAUGUAAAAGCUGUGCGGCUUCUGAAGGCAUCUCCACAGGCUGCGUUUAGAAUUGUUCUACACAGAUAAGGUAACUCAAACAAAUGUCAGUGAUCGCUACAAACAAAACGUCCAAAUUGUGUAGUGAAACUUUUCUUACAACUCUGUCGGGUCUUUCCGAACACAGGCUAGCAUGCGUGAAUAGAUGCUGAGCAGACACAACAACUGCAUCGACCCAGUGAAGCCGCUGCAGGAACGAUCGGCCUGCGGUGCAGCAAAAUGUACGCGUCUGAACGAAACAGGACAUGGAGGCAAGAAAAAGUAAAGUGAGGCGUUAUUAAAAGCCAUAGGAAUAAAGACUGACUACGAUUUCACGAAAUCCUCCAACGAAAGUCAACAUGUGUCAAAAACAGCAAAAUAAAAAAUAAUAUAACUCUGUAGACAGUCUGUGAUAAAAAAGGAAUAAAAUUAGUUAAUCUAUAUCAUUACUAUGCCACAUUAUAAUCAUUAUAGACCCCAGAGGAAUUUAUACAUUUUCCUUAUUACAAGUAAUAUUCUAACUGAUUGACAGCUCGGCCUCGGAGUCGGCCAGAAAAGAAGGCGUAUUGUCUGUGCUCCUGUAGAAGGCGCUCCGAUUGGGCGAGGAUGGGUCGGAGGGCGAGGAGCAGUUGGAGGGUGGGUCCGAGCCGGUGCUGGGGCUGCUGUGGUUGGACAGCUGGGAGAAAAGGGCAUCCUUCUGAAGACCUUUGUUCUGCAGCUCCAUCUUCAGGUGCUGGCAGAUUUCUUCAGGUAGUCGCUUGUACUCUUCAUCCAGAUCCUUCACCAGCUGGGACUUCAGCUAGACACGGUGAGAGCCAUUUGUUUAGAGGUACACUAUUAUUUGUUCUAUUCGUGCGAGCGCCCCGUGAGGCGGUUCAAACGAGUCGAGGCGCUUUCCUCUCACCUCUGGCAGUUGAUCCUCAAAGCGCUGCAUCACAUUCUUAUGGUCUAGAACCACUUUUUCUUGCCUCUUGAGCUGAGCCAACUCCAGCUGGGGUUGGAAGCAAAGAUGGGAGGCGUUAAGCGAAUGCAAGCAGUGAAGUAAAUAAAGUGAGGGUAAAGAAAGCAGGAAAAGACAGACGUGGCAUCAGAUGGAGUUGUACUGUACGUACCGAACGAAUGGAGGCCACGGAUUCCUGUAUGUGCUUCCUGUUGAUGUCCUCCAGCUCCCUACGAACACAAAGGUGAAGACUGGUCAAAAGAAGACACGACGCACAACAUUUAACCACCAGAAGUGUCCAACAAUGAAGACAAAUAAAUCCAAUGUUACUUCUCA